rnacentral:rRNA from 1 species
CCCUUAGACACUCUAGGCGGCACGCGCGCUACAAUGGGUGGAGGAACGUGUUACUGCCUCCGAAAGGAGGGGUGAAUCACGAAUUCUUGCCCGUGAAUGGGAUAGUUUGUUGCAAUUUUCGGACUUGAACUAGGAAUCCCUUGUAAACAUGCUCAAGAAUAGCGUGUUGAAUACGUCCCUGCCGUUUGUACACACCGCCCGUCGUUUCUUCCGACUGAUACUCAUUGUGAGUUGCAAGGACCCUUUAUUGGGAAAUUGCUGCAAAUGCUUUGUAUUGGAGGAAGAAAAAGUCGUAACA